GCGGUCGUGGCGGAAUUGGUAGACGCAUCAGAUUUAGGUGCUGGCGCUGAGAGGUGUGAGAGUUCAAGUUUCUCCGACCGCACCA
rnacentral:tRNA from 1 species